GGAAAAUUGGUGGAUUUCAAGGAAUCAAGCAAUCAAAGGUGGUGAGCCUUCUAACAAGGGUAAAGAGAUUAUGCCCGAAGAUUGGGAAUAGGAGAAUAUCGAACUCCUAGUAUUGUUUGAUCUGCUACAGUGGGCUGGGUUCUGUGGCCUAGCCUAUUAGAGGGGCACGAAAUCUUGU